CCCGCAGCCUGCAGUCGUCCUCCACGCCCAGCUUCCUACCUGCGGUCAUGUUGUCCCUCUCAGGCCGCUUCAUGAGCAGCAGCAGCGGCAGCAGCAGCAGCAGCAGCAGCCGCAGCCGCUCGGCCUCCAGUCUGACUCCUUCACCUCCUGGAGCUCCAUGAGUGGUCCCGCCGGAGCUGCUCCCCCCACAGCCGUCCUGGGCCUGGGCCUGGACGUGGGCGGACCGUGGCACCAGAGGAGCAGAGCUUUGGUCCAGACCUUCCUGCUGAGCGGCUCCGUGCUGCCUCCUCCUCCUCCCACAGCAGCAGGCGGCCGGCCGGACCGGACCCCCCUCAGGCUGCCGUCACUCGUAUCUGCAGCCAAAGGACCCCGAAGGAGGAGCGGCAUGGCCCGGCUCAGCUUCAGUGAACCGUCUCUUCUCACCCCAAAUGAAAACAUCCGGUUCGAGGGAUUUUCCAACAAUCGUCGUUCCAGCGUUCUACACAAACGUCCUCCGCCUCCUCCUCCAUUCACUAAGUCCUCCGGUCUGCUGACCUGCAGAACCUGCCACCCGUCCGGACCCAACCAGCCUGGUCAGCAGCAGGUCCAGAGCUGCAGCAGGCCGACCUACAUCCACUUCUCCCAGGCCAUCCAGCCCAGCUCCAAGCCCCGACCGGCCAGACGGCAUUCACACAACCCAGCGCUGAGCUCCGAGGCGGCACAAGGAGACCUGCGGCCCUCGGCGGCUCAGCAUCGGACCUUCCCGUCCCAGGGAGAACCUCUGUCUGUGGUGGGGAAGCCCUGUCUGCUGAGCUGCAGCCAGCGUUCGGCUGCUGUCGGUCCGAGUCGAGCUCAGCUUCACGUGUUUCUGCCCAGCGAGGCCGAAGGAGAGGAGGCGGACAGGGAGUCUGUGGACGAAGGAUUCAUGGACGAACUGGACAAUAAAAUGACGUCUCUGAAGCUCCAACAAGGAGCCACGAAGGCAGUAACACACCACUGAUUGACAGAACAUGAAUCCACUGUUGUGGUUCUGUACAAACAGAAGCAUACGGACGGUCCUGUCCUCCUGAUUUAGUGUAUUUGAAGCUGUUUUCUCAUGAUUAAGUAUUAUUUUGUUCAGGAUAGUGAAAAUAGAGGCACAACACAAAAUUACACAGGGUGCUCGACCUACAGCAUUUCAUCGGAACUGGUUACGUGGAACUAGUUGGCAAGUGGAGCGGAUGAAUACGUCGCCACGCAGCGCUAUAAGACGGCUUUGUUUACAUUCUCCGGUUGUACGCCACCUUGGAGUGUGCUACAUUCACUAACUUUUUGCCCUUCAUUAUGGCUCCCAAAUAUAAGUCAGUGCUUCGGCAGUGAUGGCAGUGCUUCGAAGAAAAGGAAAGCCAUGGAGCUGAAACUAGAUACAACAAAACACUCGGAACAUGACUUUUCUGAAGAACUGAUCAAUAUCGUGAUGCACAUAAUGGCUUUGUUUACAUUUUUGCCAGAGUUCCAACUUAUUGUGAAAACUGACUUAUGUUGAUUUGUGGGAAAGGAACUCCGACGUAAGUCGAGGACCCCAUGUAUAUUUACAUUCAAAUAAUAGAUAGAAAAAUAAGAGGAGAAAUUCCAAAAAUAGUGUAAAAUAGUGGAGAAUAUCUGUCCUAAUUAAAAUACAUUUUCUAGCCUAAAUUUAACCAGAGAACAUGUAUUUUUUGUUACUUUUAAAUGUUUAAUACAGGAAAUUUACGUGUAAAAACAACAAAAUUACAAUAAAAAAACAUCAUUGAUCCCACACCAGGGAAAUUCACAAAGGAAAAAAAAAGAAAAUUGGAUCUAGUCUCCCCAGCUGUACCUCCAGAACUUCACGUGUUUGAGAUUAGUAGAGAAAAAAAUAAUAAAUAAAUAAAUAAGACAUUAAAAAGACAGAAAGAACUGCCACUAACAUAGCGCAUGCGCACAAAUUAAAUAUAUGAAAUCACGAUAUUACUUAUAAUUUACUAAUAGCUAUACUAUAAAAACAUAGCUAGAUUAAUAUUAUUGUUGUUGUUGCUGUUAUACAAAUUAUCUCUCAUUUAACAAACAAAUAUAUGUCAAAUUACAGAACCAAUAGUUCUUUUUGUGGUAAUUCUUAUUCAUCACAUCCAAAUGUAGAAAUAUAUUUACACUUAAAUUUAACAGUUUCAUUUUACUUAUGUAAAAAAAAUCUUUACAAAUGUGAAUUUUAUGGUUAUUCACAGUUACAGGUUUUUAUUAUUAUUUUACAUCAGACAUAU
ensembl:lncRNA